UCCUGGCUCAGAACGAACGCUGGCGGCAGGCCUAAUACAUGCAAGUCGAGCGCAUCCUUCGGGAUGAGCGGCGGACGGGUGAGUAACGCGUGGGAAUAUGCCCUUCUCUAAGGAAUAGCCUCGGGAAACUGAGAGUAAUACCUUAUACGCCCUUCGGGGGAAAGAUUUAUCGGAGAAGGAUUAGCCCGCGUUAGAUUAGGUAGUUGGUGGGGUAAUGGCCUACCAAGCCUACGAUCUAUAGCUGGUUUGAGAGGAUGAUCAGCCACACUGGGACUGAGACACGGCCCAGACUCCUACGGGAGGCAGCAGUAGGGAAUCUUAGACAAUGGGGGAAACCCUGAUCUAGCCAUGCCGCGUGUGUGAUGAAGGCCUUAGGGUCGUAAAGCACUUUCGCCAGAGAUGAUAAUGACAGUAUCUGGUAAAGAAACCCCGGCUAACUCCGUGCCAGCAGCCGCGGUAAUACGGAGGGGGUUAGCGUUGUUCGGAAUUACUGGGCGUAAAGCGCACGUAGGCGGAUUAGUAAGUUAGAGGUGAAAUCCCAGGGCUCAACCCUGGAACUGCCUUUAAUACUGCUAGUCUUGAGUUCGAGAGAGGUAAGUGGAAUUCCAAGUGUAGAGGUGAAAUUCGUAGAUAUUUGGAGGAACACCAGUGGCGAAGGCGGCUUACUGGCUCGAUACUGACGCUGAGGUGCGAAAGUGUGGGGAGCAAACAGGAUUAGAUACCCUGGUAGUCCACACCGUAAACGAUGAAUGCCAGACGUCAGCAAGUAUACUUGUUUGGUGUC
rnacentral:rRNA from 1 species